rnacentral:tRNA from 1 species
UCCUGGGUAGCUCAGUCGGUAGAGCGGGUGGCUGUUAACCACCAUGUCGGGGGUUCGAGUCCCUCCCCAGGAG